UAAUACAGAGGUGGCAAGCGUUGUUCGGAUUUACUGGGCGUAAAGGGUGCGUAGGCGGUCUUGUGUGUCGGGUGUGAAAUCCCACGGAUUAUCCGUGGAACUGCAUUCGAAACUACAGGGCUGGAGUGCAGGAGAGGAAGGUGGAAUUCUCGGUGUAGCGGUGAAAUGCGUUGAUAUCGAGAGGAACGCCGGAGGCGAAGGCGACCUUCUGGACUGCAACUGACGCUGAGGCACGAAAGCUAGGGGAGCAAACAGGAUUAGAUACCCUGGUAGUCCUAGCCGUAAACGGUGUGAACUUGACGUGGGAGGAAUUAUCCCCUUCCGUGUCGAAGCAAACGCGAUAAGUUCACCGCCUGGGGAGUACGGUCGCAAGAUUAAAACUCAAAGAAAUUGACGGGGGCCCGCACAAGCGGUGGAGCAUGUUGCUUAAUUCGAUGCAACGCGAAGAACCUUACCUGGGUUUGACAUGUGGCUGGAUGCUGCGGGAAACCGCGGAGGCUUUCGAGGCUGCCAC
rnacentral:rRNA from 1 species